AAAAAGGAAAGAUAUGCAAUCUGCAACUACCUUUGAUAAAACCAAGUGUGCUACCACAUCAAAGGGUACUCCAGGUGACCGACCAACAGAUGAGUCAAUAUUGACUGGAGCACAAGUGUUCUUAAAAAGCUGGAGAUGUCCAACCAAGACUGUUGCCUUAGGCACAGUACUUGGUCGAGACCCAAAUCAUAAAGUUGGAGGUGUUAAGUUAGGCAGAGAAUUUUGGAUGGUGCGUGUUAGACUUGUAAUACUGCCUAUUGAGCCUUUGAUUCGACCAUACGACAACAUGGAGGUUAUUGGUGAUGUCGGCAACAAUCUUAUAGCAUGGCCUUCGUGUUGUAUUGAAGACGACAAAAACUGAUAUAUGCUCAUUUCAACAUCACGACGCUUCAACUCAGUUCAGGAUGAUAUCAUGAUUUUCGAAGCUGCAAGAUUUCUACAGAAUCCAAAGACUACUUAUUUCAAACCGGAUGGCGUGGAUCAC